GAAGUUUUGGCUCAGUGGUAGAGUGCUUGCCUGGCAUGCAUGAGGCCCUGGGUUCGAUCCUCAGUACUGCA
rnacentral:tRNA from 1 species